AGCGAACGCUGGCGGCAGGCCUAACACAUGCAAGUCGAACGGACCCUUCGGGGCUAGUGGCGGACGGGUGAGUAACACGUGGGAACGUGCCCUUUGGUUCGGAACAACUCAGGGAAACUUGAGCUAAUACCGAAUGUGCCCUUUGGGGGAAAGAUUUAUCGCCAUUGGAGCGGCCGGCGUCUGAUUAGCUAGUUGGUGGGGUAAUGGCCUACCAAGGCUACGAUCAGUAGCUGGUCUGAGAGGAUGAUCAGCCACAUUGGGACUGAGACACGGCCCAAACUCCUACGGGAGGCAGCAGUGGGGAAUCUUGCGCAAUGGGCGAAAGCCUGACGCAGCCAUGCCGCGUGAAUGAUGAAGGUCUUAGGAUUGUAAAAUUCUUUCACCGGGGACGAUAAUGACGGUACCCGGAGAAGAAGCCCCGGCUAACUUCGUGCCAGCCGCCGCCGUAACAC
rnacentral:rRNA from 1 species